UACGUAGGGGGCGAGCGUUGUCCGGAUUUAUUGGGCGUAAAGAGCUCGUAGGUGGUUUGGUAAGUCGGAUGUGAAAUCUCCAGGCUCAACCUGGAGGGGUCAUUCGAGACUGCUAUGACUAGAGUUCGGUAGAGGAGUGUGGAAUUCCUGGUGGAGCGGUGAAAUGCGCAGAUAUCAGGAGGAACACCCGUAGCGAAGGCGGCACUCUGGGCCGAUACUGACACUGAGGAGCGAAAGCGUGGGGAGCGAACAGG
rnacentral:rRNA from 2 species